rnacentral:misc_RNA from 1 species
UGCUUCGGCAUCGAACCGUCCGCGCACGCACCACGUCAGUGACGCAGCAAGACUUUCUUGCGCUAUACGGAGAWUCCUGUAUUUGCUACCUACGCUUAAAGGAACGGUGCCKCUCGCUACCCUUUCCUUCCCCGAGCAUGCGCUCGUGGGGAGGACAUCGUAGUAGCGCCUGUGCCCCUCGCAUCGAGCAUGCCGYAAGGCGCGCACGUUGYGACGGUUCUCGGGUUGCURCUUGAYGGUUCGGAUACGGAACAUUCGGUGGGCUUGGGUGUCUCGACACCUUUYGAUGUCCAAAUUCARGCGUUUUGUCGCUAGACAUGUACGACUGCCRCGCUCGCYGCGGGUCUCCCGCGYGGUGCGUGGCGUCGGCAAAGGAAUGCUACCUGGUU